rnacentral:lncRNA from 1 species
GUCCCUUUUGCCCCUAGGAGAUGGUCCUUAUCCUGAGAGAACUCGAAGGUUCUGCUGUUCCUCACCAUUACUGACAGUAAAGGCCCACAACAGGCCGUCUCACUUGUCAAACGCUCCACCCCACCUGCCCCUUGCGGGGGCUGUGGCUGGGUUCUUAGGCAAGCAGCCUAGAUCUAUUCUGCAUUACCCAGGGAGACAGCAGUGAGCACAAUGUCCAGCACACAGAAAACAUUUCACAACCUUCCCUGUUAUCAUGGCGGACACUGUAAGGAGGGAAUGGGCCAGAAAGGGUUUGCAGUCAUUUGCGGGUUUGCACCACCAAGGGGCGCUCGAGGUGGAACAGUUUCGUGCUGGGUCGUACCACUGACAGGAACAGAGGUAAGGACAGUGCGCGUUGAAAGGAAUCACUAGGGAGGGGCAUCCAUUUGGGAAUAAUCCUCUUGUGUGUGGCAGCACUGAAGUCUACUUAAAGCUCUCCGUUUCCAACAGGAGCACUAAUACCCCCGUGUGUGGUCUGUUCCUACUCCGUUCUUCUGACCCAAUGGAGACCGCAGCAGGAAUCCAUUUCCUUUCUGGAUGGUGAUUGGUCACCGAGGGAGCUACAAGUAAGCAUUUCCGAGGUACCAAAUGGUUCCGGAUGGAUGGAUCCCUAGGCCCCGCCCCCUUUUCAAUACCUAGUUCCGAUUGACAGUCUUUUGGGGGCCGGCACGAUGACGGCAGAACUGGAGUUCCGGCAGAGGGUGAGGGGUGUGGACGCGUGAUGUGACGUGUUUUCUUCACGCGAGCUCGUUCAAUCUUAUUUAUCCGUAAUUCAUCAAUCUUAUUUAUCCGUAAUUCAUUCACAAGCAUGGUCUGGCCCUUUUGGCACCCCACAAUCAUUCCUACAUUCAAUUACUGUUCAGGAAGAGGUCUCUGAGCUUGUUUGAUGUGUCUCCCUAGGAAAGUG